rnacentral:rRNA from 1 species
GACGAACGCGGCGGCGUGCCUAAUACAUGCAAGUUGAGCGCUGAAGGUUGGUACUUGUACCAACUGGAUGAGCAGCGAACGGGUGAGUAACGCGUGGGGAAUCUGCCUUUGAGCGGGGGACAACAUUUGGAAACGAAUGCUAAUACCGCAUAAAAACUUUAAACACAAGUUUUAAGUUUGAAAGAUGCAAUUGCAUCACUCAAAGAUGAUCCCGCGUUGUAUUAGCUAGUUGGUGAGGUAAAGGCUCACCAAGGCGAUGAUACAUAGCCGACCUGAGAGGGUGAUCGGCCACAUUGGGACUGAGACACGGCCCAAACUCCUACGGGAGGCAGCAGUAGGGAAUCUUCGGCAAUGGACGAAAGUCUGACCGAGCAACGCCGCGUGAGUGAAGAAGGUUUUCGGAUCGUAAAACUCUGUUGGUAGAGAAGAACGUUGGUGAGAGUGGAAAGCUCAUCAAGUGAC